AGUAGCUGGGAACGGGUUGUCUCAGUUGUCAGCGUGAAGGUUAUUCUGCUGAAGCCGACCCAACCCCCACCCUGUUCUG
ensembl:miRNA MIR9784-1 microRNA mir-9784-2